GGCUUAACACAUGCAAGUCGAGGGGCAGCAUGGUCUUAGCUUGCUAAGGCUGAUGGCGACCGGCGCACGGGUGAGUAACACGUAUCCAACCUGCCGUCUACUCUUGGCCAGCCUUCUGAAAGGAAGAUUAAUCCAGGAUGGCAUCAUGAGUUCACAUGUCCGCAUGAUUAAAGGUAUUUUCCGGUAGACGAUGGGGAUGCGUUCCAUUAGAUAGUAGGCGGGGUAACGGCCCACCUAGUCAACGAUGGAUAGGGGUUCUGAGAGGAAGGUCCCCCACAUUGGAACUGAGACACGGUCCAAACUCCUACGGGAGGCAGCAGUGAGGAAUAUUGGUCAAUGGGCGAUGGCCUGAACCAGCCAAGUAGCGUGAAGGAUGACUGCCCUAUGGGUUGUAAACUUCUUUUAUAAAGGAAUAAAGUCGGGUAUGCAUACCCGUUUGCAUGUACUUUAUGAAUAAGGAUCGGCUAACUCCGUGCCAGCAGCCGCGGUAAUACGGAGGAUCCGAGCGUUAUCCAGAUUUAUUGGGUUUAAAGGGAGCGUAGAUGGAUGUUUAAGUCAGUUGUGAAAGUUUGCGGCUCAACCGUAAAAUUGCAGUUGAUACUGGAUGUCUUGAGUGCAGUUGAGGCAGGCGGAAUUCGUGGUGUAGCGGUGAAAUGCUUAGAUAUCACGAAGAACUCCGAUUGCGAAGGCAGCCUGCUAAGCUGCAA
rnacentral:rRNA from 1 species